rnacentral:rRNA from 1 species
GAUGAACGCUGGCGGCGUGCUUAACACAUGCAAGUCGAACGGAAAGGCCCUGCUUGCAGGGUACUCGAGUUGCCAACGGGUGAGUAACACGUGGGUGGUCUGCCCUGCUCUUCGGGAUAAGCCUGGGCAGCUGGGUCUAAUACCGGAUAGGAGCCAUUUUUAGUGUGAUGGUUGGAAAGUUUUUUCGGUGUAGGAUGAGCUCGCGGCCUAUCAGCUUGUUGGUGGGGUAAUGGCCUACCAAGGCGGCGACGGGUAGCCGGCCUGAGAGGGUGGACUGCCACACUGGGUCCGAGGUACGGCCCAGACACCUACGGGAGGCAGCAGUGGGGAAUAUUGAACAAUGGGCGCAAGCCUGAUGCAGCAACGCUGCGUGGCGGAUGACGGCCUUCGGGUUGUAGACGAAGUUCGCAAGGGACGAAGCUUGUUGUGACGGUACCUAGAGAAAAAGCAACGGCUAACUACGUG